CUUGGACUCCAGCCCUGGCAACCUUUUCUCUUCCAGCCGGGGAUCUUGCAGCACAAUCCCAGAGGCCUGGCUUUGCACGCACGGAUCCCGGGCGGGGUGGGGGAGAGCUGGGGCCAUCAGGGGGCCCAGGCUCUGGUCCCUUCUCCUGACCCCCAGGCCAGGGCUGGCCCUGGGCAGAGGCAGAGUGAGGGGGGGAUUGAUAGAAAGAGCCUGACCCAGCCCCAUGCCUGGUGCCUCUGUUCCUUUGGGCUAAGGCAUUUCCCCCCAAUCUCGAGUAGCAUUGCAAAUAUUUCCGAUCUGGGCAGUCGUUAACACAAUGUUAUGGGUUCUCUGUUCAGCUGGGAGAUCGCUCAGGAGAGGGACAGAAGAGGGAUUCCCGGUGGCUCUGUUUCUCUGGGGUCAGGGCUAUUCCAUCAGUCAAAUCUGCACACGGAGAUGUGUACCAUGCCAGACAGCGGGCAAUGUGGAGACGAACCCCAAGGCUCCUAUCCUCAAGAGCCCACGCUAAGGGGGUGAUUUAAGACAGCUAAGUUGUUUCGUCUCUAUUUCUGCCUCUGACCUCGGUCCUUGAGCUCAUGUUGCUGAUCAGCUGCAGGUUUGAAAGGUCGGAAGGAAACUGAGAACUGUGAGAGGCCAGAACCGAGGAGGCCCAGCUGGGGGUGAAGGGCAGACUCUCCGAGGUCCAGGCCUCGGCGCAGCGCUGAGCAAAAGUGGAGCCCAUGGAGACCGUCCACUCGCACAGCCGAGGAGGAGGCUCUGAUAUGGACACAGGAGGCCACGGCUACCGCCCAUGCACGUUCUCUUCCUCCAGGUGGCACUACCUCAUUUUACCCUCAGGGCCCUGGAGACGGGCACCACGGCUCUCUUGCUAUCUGCACAGGAACUAAGCACACAGACUGCCAGGGGAGCUGGGAGCUGGCCCAAGCCUGGCUGACGUCAUGUCUCAACCUCACAAUCACCAGACAGAGGCUCCCCGUAUUUGGUACGUGUCUGCACUUACAUUUUUUCUACAUUUUCACUUAGGCCUCACAAUGACCCUGUGAGUUGGGUCUUAUUAGCUCCAUUUCACAGAUAAGGAAACAGAGGCCCAGGAAGGUCACCGAAGGUCACCCAGCCAGUAGGCUCCAGAUCUCGCCUUCUGAUCUUGCCAGCUGCUCCCCAGACCGCGGCCUCUCUCGGCACAGCCUGGCCAGCCUGCCUGGGGCGGGGCUCGCCUCAAGAUGGCGCCCACCCUCUUCCCUUGUUUCGCCGUAUUCGAAGGACUCCAACACGACAGCUUUUACAUUUCGGCAUCUUUGCAACCUGGGUGCAUCUUACAGUCUUUGGCAGGCCAGGCAGCUGUCGUGACCUUGUUCUCUUUUCCCGCACACACAUCAAAACCUGCAGGAUGGGCAUCAGUUUCUCAGAAGAAAAUCCUGGAGCCAAUAGCGGAGGACACUUAAAAAAGACACGCUGGGGCUGGCCCUGUGGCCGAGUGGUUAAGUUUGCGCGCUCCGCUGCAGGCGGCCCAGUGUUUCGUUGGUUCGAAUCCUGGGCGCGGACAUGGCACCACUCAUCAAACCACGCUGAGGCAGCGUCCCACGUGCCACAACUAGAAGGACCCACAACGAUGAAUAUACAACUAUGUACCCGGGGGCUUUGGGGAGAAAAAGGAAAAAAUAAAAUCUUUAAAAAAAAAAAACAAAAAUGACAUGCUGCACCACCGUGCUUUUGAUGGUGCAGAGGACAAGACCUGUAGAAAACCCCGGCUUCAACAGCUCUUGAGUCGGAAGAGAUUCCAAAGAGUUGGACUCAGAAUACAAAGCUACUCUAGG
ensembl:lncRNA